UCCACGAAAAAAUGAAACUUUGAUAGCCUGUAGAGUUUCGGGCGCUGAGUCGAAUGGUCUUGGUCCGAAGUCUCUACGACGAAGCGUUCUUGAGAUAUUUCACUUUGAAAUUGCAAAAACGGGGGCCGCGCCCUGACGUCAUGCGGCCAUUUGGUUACAUCAUCACGGGCUGCCUACGUCAUUGUGGCAAAGUCGUUUCUCUUCGCCAGUCUACAAGCACUAAUUUUAGUUGGUAUUUCAAGGGAAGAUGGGCGAUUCCGAACAAUCCUCUGUCCCCAGCAAUGAAGGCAGCGAUGCUGAGGCCAGUGAGGACGACCAACAGCCCACCGCCGCGUAUGGUUGGGGCAGGGAGCCCAGAUACUCUGCUGAGGAGCUGCCAUCGCGUGUAACAAAUGUGGAGGAAGAAGAUGCGUCAGCAGCUGCGUCCGACAGAAGACGAGUAGCUUGGCCACCAGAAUCUCGAUUCGUUUUGGACUCCGACUGGUGCGAGCGUGGACAAAAGUGUAUAGCCAUGCCCAGCCCGCGGGAAUGAUUUUGCUGGUAGGAUGCUGCCGUCGCUGUCGACAAGACGGCCCAAGGUUUCUUGCGUAGCGGACCUCGCAGAUUACGAGAUCGUAUCCUUGCAUUAGGCUGUGCUCAUCACUGCUCUUCGAGGUUAUCUCGACAUGCAGAAGCCGCCAAUGCCAGUGACAGAAGAGUCUGACAUUAGAUCUCUACGCUAUGCGGCACACAGGCAGUACACACUAUGUACACGGCAAAUUGGGCAAGCACGUUCGUUGUCGUCUUCCAGCCUGCGUUGUGAAUACCAUCAGGCAAAGAUAUGCAAAUCCUGCACCACCUCAGCCUUCUCAGGAGGCUUCCACCUGGAAUUUGGCAGGGAAACACGCUUCUCCAAGGCAGGAACAUGGAGGUUGCCAUUUGCAACCGCUACCACCUCACACAUGAGCUUGUCAACAUACUCAUAGCUCUUUCUGUCGUAUAAUUUUCUAUUUGGCCACAGUCUUCUUUAUGCUUUGAGAACUGGACUUUAUACCUUCC